CUUACCGGGUCCGGACACACUGAGGAUUGACAGGUAUUAUAUAAUUGCUCUUCGGAGCUUUUAUUGUUAAAUAUGCUAGUCCUUUCAUGAUUAUGUGAUAGGUGGUGCAUGGCCGUUCUUAGUUCGUGGAGUGAUCUGUCUGCUUAAUUGCGUUUCACUAUAGGUCCUAUAUUCUUAAAAUGUGUGCAGUGCAUUGACCCCUUGUUUUUAACAAGCGCGUGUCUUUGUGCUCACACUUUCAUUAGGUCCUGAAAGCAACGAACGUGACCGCAACCUCUUGUUGCCUCAUUUCAAACGCGUACAUACACUGGUUUUCUAAGUAUUACGCUUAUUGAGGCUUUUUUAAACUAGAGGGACCGCUGUCAACUUCUUAAACCAGAGGAAGGUUGCGGCGAUAACAGGUCUGUGAUGCCCUUAGAUGUUCCGGGCUGCACACGUGCU
rnacentral:rRNA from 1 species